rnacentral:rRNA from 1 species
AUUGAACGCUGGCGGCAGGCAUAACAUAUGCAAGUCGAACGAGUGGCGGACGUGUGAGGAAUGUCUGGGAAAAUGCCUGAUGGAGGGGGAUAACUACUGGAAACGGUAGCUAAUACCGCAUAGCCUCAGAUGUGCACAGAUGGGAUUAGCUAGUAGGUGGGGUAAAGGCUCACCUAGGCGGCGGUCCCUAGCUGGUGUGAGAGGAUGACCAGCCACACUGGGAGUUCGAGACUGUCCAGACCCAUACGGGAGGCAGCAGUGGGGAAUAUUGCACAAGUUGGGAAAGCCUGAUGCAGCCAGGCCGCGUGUAUGAAGAAGGCCUUCGGGUUGUAAAGUACUUUCUGCUGGGAGGCAUUACCCUCAGAAUAAGCACCGGCUAACUCCGUGCCAGCAGCCGCGGUAAUAC